CAUUGAAUUUAAAAAAAUGUUCAUCAAAAUUUAUAAAAUUCUUCGAAUUUGAAAAGUAAUUUCAUCAUUUGAAGAAAAAAGUUCAGGAAUUUGAAACAUCAUACCAGGAAGAAAAAAGAAUAAACAGAAACAUAAAACGAAAAAAGGAAAAGGGAAAACAAGAAAAAAGAAGAAGGAAAGAGGAAAUACGAAAAUUAGGAAAGAGAUGUAAGUUGACAUAUCAGUGAAGGUGGCGUGGUGGUUACCGCAAUAUAGUUUGGUGUGGACGUCGCUGGUUUGAUCCCCCGCGUGUGCGCCUUUUACACGUUUACAAGAAAGCGAAGAUGGGUCGGCCCAGCGCGGGGCGCUGCAGGCGCCCGUUUGCAAAAUACACAUUAACGGGCAGCGUCAAAUAGGAUUCGCCCAAUUUUUUUAUGUUUUCUUGGGCGUUCUUCUCUGGUUUUGGGGGGUUUCUACUUUAUGUUUUUUCUUAUAUUUUCUUCUUCUUUUGCUUUUAAAAUUCAUGAACAUUCAAAAUACCACCAACAUUUAAUAUUUUUAUGAAUAUAUCGAUAUCUCAAAAUUUGCAAACUAAAAAAAAUACUUUUUUGAUUCCAACUUUUUAAAAUAUUUUUACAUGAACUAUAACAUUUUUCUGGAAUAAAAGAAACUUUUUUUUCUGGAAUAAACGAAACGGAACCAGAAAACCAGCUCCACCACGUUCCCGGAGGUGCAGAAACGGUAUGUGGGCCGGCCGCCGGCCCACCGCGCGUUUUGGGGCCUUCCUGUUCGCGGUGCCCACUCUGUAUGCCUUCCGGUGCUCCUCACCGCCGUUCCGGCGCACGGACGCCGUCGGCCAUUGGGCAUGCCGCUGACCUCCAGCGGCACGCACUCCGCCUCCACCUCCACCAGCGGUGGAACCGCUUUUGGCUCACCUGGGUUUACCGGCGAUGCCGAACAGGGGAAGAAAAGCGCCUCCCCAUGCCGCGCGCGGUUCCGAUCUGCUGGUACAUGCUGCUGCAAAAGGUCUAUCUAAAGUGUGACGGUUCUUUCCUCCUCCCGUAUUUCCUACCAUAGAUGGUACCCAACUCAUUCAGUUGCCUACCUUCAUAGUCCAUAAUUUUCUCUGAUCAUCUUUUUAAUGUUUUCCUUAUCUUCCUUCAAUCUUAUGGGAUCUGCAAAAGGAUCUGUAAAUCUCCUGCAAGCUGACUUACACAAAGAUACUUGACGGCUAUUUGAACUUUGAA